rnacentral:rRNA from 1 species
AUUGAACGCUGGCGGCAUGCUUUACACAUGCAAGUCGAACGGCAGCGCGGGCUUCGGCCUGGCGGCGAGUGGCGAACGGGUGAGUAAUACAUCGGAACGUGCCCAGUAGUGGGGGAUAGCUCGGCGAAAGCCGGAUUAAUACCGCAUACGACCUGAGGGUGAAAGCGGGGGAUCUUCGGACCUCGCGCUAUUGGAGCGGCCGAUGGCAGAUUAGCUAGUUGGUGGGGUAAAGGCCUACCAAGGCGACGAUCUGUAGCUGGUAUGAGGGGACGACCAGCCACACUGGGACUGAGACACGGCCCAGACUCCUACGGGAGGCAGCAGUGGGGAAUUUUGGACAAUGGGCGAAAGCCUGAUCCAGCAAUGCCGCGUGUGUGAUGAAGGCCUUCGGGUUGUAAAGCACUUUUGGCGGGAACGAAAAGGACUGUGCCAAUACCACGGUUCGAUGACGGUACCCGCAGAAUAAGCACCGGCUAACUACGUG